rnacentral:rRNA from 1 species
ACGGAGGGUGCGAGCGUUGUCCGGAAUCAUUGGGCGUAAAGCGCGCGCAGGCGGCCUGAAAAGUCUAUGGGUGAAAUGCCGGGGCUCAACCCCGUGCGUGCCCAGGAUACUGUCAGGCUGGAGACACGUAGUGGCAAGCGGAAUUCCGGGUGUAGCGGUGGAAUGCGUAGAGAUCCGGAAGAACACCGGAGGCGAAGGCGGCUUGCUGGGCGUGAUCUGACGCUGAGGCGCGAAAGCGUGGGGAGCGAACAGGA